AAAUAAAGAAUAUACCCAACCUCUCUCCGUGGGGGCCCGGUGUGUGGUGGCUGCCAAUAGCAGCUUCCUUAGGAGUGUACAAGGCCUGUUGCUUGUAUGGGUUGCCCUAAGGGACCUUGGAGACAGCC
rnacentral:snoRNA from 1 species